CCUGUAACGAGACGAGUUUAAAACUCUCAAGAAGCGUGUAAAGUACAUCGUCAAUGUCUGUUAUUCUACCGAUUUAACAGAUCAAGUGAAUGUACCACAGAUGUAGUGAAAAUAUCUACGGUUUAUUUACCCCGAGGAGAGAUAGUGGUGUUUUAAUGGAAGCGAAUGUUUGCGCCGGAUGCGGUCGGCCUGCACUUCCCACUUGUCUAAAUUGAUAAGCGUUUCACGAGAUAGAGGAUACCAUGCGUGGGCUAAUCGAUUUUUAGAUUCGUUUACUCUCGACCUAAUGCAUGACACUUGCGAUCUAUCUCGCCAACGUGUGGAUAUCUUGCAGCAACGUAUUAUCCAACGAUACGCGGCUCGUUGUAGCGACGUAAUCAGAAAGGAUGCGUGUGUGGGAUGUCCAUCAUUGAGAGUGCCGUUCAUUAUUAUCGGAGUAGAGCGACCGACAGCAUCAAUCUUGGUAGCAUGAUGUUCUCAGAUGAGGUGAGACAAGAGACGUCAAAAAGUCACACAAAAGAUAUCGUGGACGGCGAUAAUCCAAGAGGGGAGGUCGAAGGGGAGAGAUCGACGACCGCUCGGCGUUUUCUUGGUAGGCUUCUGUCGCCGGCCCAAUGUCAAAGGUCGACAGACUCCACACAGGACAGGGGAUCGGUGCGGUCUCUCUCCUCGCGCGCGUUCUCUCGUCGACGUCGCAACGGGAGAAGCGCUCGCCGUGCCGUUCGGGAGCGAUACAGCGGCCGAGUCGACCGAAUCCGCCGACUAGUGGCAGCUAACUGUCGUGGACCGCUAAACUAGUUACGAUUGUGCAGAAGCCGUCCAAUCGCUGAAGAAUUUAUGCGUGGGGUAGAACUCGACAUCCGCUGACAUCCGCAAUAAUGCCUGAGACACGAAAUCAUGCAUUUCUUUUCUGCAACGUUAAUCAAUUUAUUAACAAGAAUGAAAGGUUUCUUGCAAAUUUUAAACUUCGUUUUUGAGAUGCGCAGAGAAUUUAAUCGCAUACGUCGAAAUGUUUAAAGAAUGUUUACACACACACACACGGAGCUUUAAUUCUUAUAUAUAAUAUUUUACAUAAUAUUUUCUAGUGUGAAAAGCUUACAUUUUAUGAUCUUUGAAAUGCAAUGUCGAGAUAUUGCUAUUCGUAAUGUCUUUAUUGUAACUUGACGCAAUUUAAGAUUUAUGUCAGUUUUUUUUAUUUUCUGAUAAAGUUUCACGAAUUAAGCUUUUUAUCCGUUAUCACUGUACGACUAUAUGUAUACCAAAUUAUCAGUCUUUGCAGCAUAGUGAGUCUAUUUUCGUCAUGAAAAAAAGACUGUCUUCAUAGAUCUUUUUGGACGCGAGAUAAAAGGUAGCUCUCAUGAUGAAAAAAUCGACAUUUUUCGCAGACAAUUAAAUUGAAUAAUCUAGCAGGUCAAUUGGAUAUAUUUUUAUUAAUUUCCGACACAGAUAAAAUAAUAAUGCAAUUAAGAUGAGAUAGCAUAUUAUUGAGGGAAUGUGUAUCGAUUUAAGAAAUAAAGCGCUUUCUAUUUAUUUUAUUUUUAAGAAAUAAAAGCAAUUCUUAUAUACGCAUGUUCGAAAUUAUAUUCAAUUGAUUUUCUAAUUUUCUUUAUUCUUCAUGUAUAAUUGUAAUCAAUUUUAGUAACGCUCAAUCUUUUGUCCUUUGUUAGAGCAGAUAUUCGUAUUGUAAACACAAAAGACGAAAACAGUAACACCUAAUACACGAGACCACACGAUUCUUUAUUUAUCUCGCAAUAUUAGCGAAAUCGAAUUCGAUAACAUUUGACACUGGCAGGCUUCUAAGUCCGGAAAUUGAUGAAAUGUGUGUCAUGGAGACAGACCCGUAAAAUUUAUCGCUCUUAACAAAGCACUAAGAUUUAAUAAAAAAUUCUAUGAGAUCAAGAUCGAUAUGUCAAUAGUGCACACCCGCAUCAUGCGUUUAUCACAAAUAAUACUGCAUAAUGUAUAAGAUUAUACAUAUUAAUUUUAACCGACUUAAAAUUAUAAUAGAUUUACAUAUAUUAAA